AUGAACCCUGCUGCAGCUAUUGUAUAUGGCCUUGACAAGAGAACUAAUUGUGUGGGAGAACGGAAUAUUUUUGUCUUCGACCUUGGUGGUGGGACUUUUGAUGUGUCUCUUCUUACUAUUAAGGAUAAGGUCUUCCAGGUUAAGGCUACUGCAGGAAACACUCACCUUGGAGGAGAGGACUUUGAUAAUAGAAUGGUGAACUAUUUUGUAGAGGAGAUCAAAAGGAAGAAAAAGUUAGACAUUGUUGGUAACCCGAAAGCCUUGAGGAGACUGAGAACAAUGUUGAUCUAA